GCCCGAUGGGAAACAGGUUAAUAUUCCUGUACCGAUGUGUAGUGCGAUGUGGGGACGGAGAAGGUUAACUCAGCCGGGUGUUGGAUAUCCCGGUUCAAGCCUGUAGUCGUGGUCCUUAGGCAAAUCCGGGGACCUUAGAUGAGGGGUGAUAACGAGGAAGCUUGCUUCCGAAGUGAGUGAUACCCUGCUUCCAAGAAAAGCCACUAAGCUUCAGCUACACACGACCUACCGCAAACCGACACUGGUGCGCGAGAUGAGUAUUCUAAGGCGCUUGAGAGAACUCUGGAGAAGGAACUCGGCAAAUUGACACCGUAACUUCGGAAGAAGGUGUGCCCCUAGUAGGUGAAGUCGUACAGACGGAGCCCAAUGGGGUCGCAGAGAAUAGGUGGCUGCGACUGUUUAUUAAAAACACAGCACUCUGCAAAGACGAAAGUCGACGUAUAGGGUGUGACGCCUGCCCGGUGCUGGAAGAUUAAAUGAUGGGGUGCAAGCUCUUGAUUGAAGUCCCAGUAAACGGCGGCCGUAACGAUAACGGUCCUAAGGUAGCGAAAUUCCUUGUCGGGUAAGUUCCGACCUGCACGAAUGGCGUAACGAUGGCCACGCUGUCUCCUCCAGAGACUCAGCGAAGUUUGAAAUGUUUGUGAUGAUGCAAUCUCCCCGCGGAAAGACGGAAAGACCCCAUGAACCUUUACUGUAGCUUUACAUUGGACUUUGAACAGAUCUGUGUAGGAUAGGUGGGAGGCUUUGAAGCCUGGUCGCUAGAUCAGGUGGAGCCAACGUUGAAAUACCACCCUGGUGUGUUUGAGGUUCUAACCUUGGCCCGUGAUCCGGGUUGGGGACAGUGUAUGGUGGGCAGUUUGACUGGGGCGGUCUCCUCCCAAAGCGUAACGGAGGAGUUCGAAGGUACGCUAGGCACGGUCGGAAAUCGUGCUGAUAGUGCAUUGGCAUAAGCGUGCUUGACUGCGAGACUGACAAGUCGAGCAGGUACGAAAGUAGGACAAAGUGAUCCGGUGGUUCUGUAUGGAAGGGCCAUCGCUCAACGGAUAAAAGGUACUCUGGGGAUAACAGGCUGAUACCGCCCAAGAGUUCAUGUCGACGGCGGUGUUUGGCACCUCGAUGUCGGCUCAUCUCAUCCUGGGGCUGUAGCCGGUCCCAAGGGUAUGGCUGUUCGCCAUUUAAAGAGGUACGUGAGCUGGGUUUAAAACGUCGUGAGACAGUUUGGUCCCUAUCUUCCGUGGGCGCUGCAAGAUUGAGAGAGCCUGCUCCUAGUACGAGAGGACCGGAGUGGACGCACCUCUGGUGUAUCGGUUGUCACGCCAGUGGCAUCGCCGAGUAGCUAAGUGCGGAAGAGAUAACCGCUGAAAGCAUCUAAGCGGGAAACUCGUCUCUAGAUGAGUCUUGCCGGGGCCUCGAGCCCCCUGAAGAGUCGUUCGAGACCAGGACGUUGAUAGGUCGGGUGUGGAAGCGCAGUAAUGCGUUAAGCUAACCGAUACUAAUUGCUCGUGAGGCUUGACCCU
rnacentral:rRNA from 1 species